GAUUGAACGCUGGCGGCAUGCCUUACACAUGCAAGUCGAACGGUAACAGGUCUUUCGGGAUGCUGACGAGUGGCGAACGGGUGAGUAAUACAUCGGAACGUGCCCAGUAAUGGGGGAUAGCUCGGCGAAAGCCGGAUUAAUACCGCAUACGCCCUGAGGGGGAAAGUGGGGGACCGCAAGGCCUCACGUUAUUGGAGCGGCCGAUGGCUGAUUAGCUAGUUGGUAGGGUAAAGGCCUACCAAGGCGACGAUCAGUAGCUGGUCUGAGAGGACGAUCAGCCACACUGGGACUGAGACACGGCCCAGACUCCUACGGGAGGCAGCAGUGGGGAAUUUUGGACAAUGGGGGAAACCCUGAUCCAGCAAUGCCGCGUGUGCGAAGAAGGCCUUCGGGUUGUAAAGCACUUUUGUCAGGGAAGAAAUCCUUUGGGCUAAUACCCUAGGGGGAUGACGGUACCUGAAGAAUAAGCACCGGCUAACUACGUGCCAGCAGCCGCGGUAAUACGUAGGGUGCAAGCGUUAAUCGGAAUCACUGGGCGUAAAGCGUGCGCAGGCGGUUGUGUAAGACAGGUGUGAAAUCCCCGGGCUUAACCUGGGAAUUGCAUUUGUGACUGCACGACUAGAGUGUGUCAGAGGGGGGUGGGAAUUCCACGUGUAGCAGUGAAAUGCGUAGAUAUGUGGAGGAACACCAAUGGCGAAGGCAGCCCCCUGGGAUAACACUGACGCUCAUGCACGAAAGCGUGGGGGAGCAAACAGGAUUAGAUACCCUGGUAGUCCACGCCCUAAACGAUGUCAACUAGUUGUUGGGGAUUUACUUCCUUGGUAACGUAGCUAACGCGUGAAGUUGACCGCCUGGGGAGUACGGCCGCAAGGUUAAAACUCAAAGGAAUUGACGGGGACCCGCACAAGCGGUGGAUGAUGUGGAUUAAUUCGAUGCAACGCGAAAAACCUUACCUACCCUUGACAUGGCAGGAACUUUCCAGAGAUGGAUUGGUGCUCGAAAGAGAACCUGCACACAGGUGCUGCAUGGCUGUCGUCAGCUCGUGUCGUGAGAUGUUGGGUUAAGUCCCGCAACGAGCGCAACCCUUGUCAUUAGUUGCUACGAAAGGGCACUCUAAUGAGACUGCCGGUGACAAACCGGAGGAAGGUGGGGAUGACGUCAAGUCCUCAUGGCCCUUAUGGGUAGGGCUUCACACGUCAUACAAUGGUCGGUACAGAGGGUUGCCAAGCCGCGAGGUGGAGCCAAUCCCAGAAAACCGAUCGUAGUCCGGAUCGCAGUCUGCAACUCGACUGCGUGAAGUCGGAAUCGCUAGUAAUCGCGGAUCAGAAUGCCGCGGUGAAUACGUUCCCGGGUCUUGUACACACCGC
rnacentral:rRNA from 1 species